UAUUUAUUAGAUAACAAGCCAAUAUUCCUCUGGUCUAUUGUGGUGAAUCAUAAUAACUGAUCGAAUCGCAAAGCCUAUGGCUGCGAUAAGUCAUUCAAGUUUCUGCCCCAUCAGCUUUCGAUGGUAGUGUAUUGGACUACCAUGGCGUUUACGGGUAACGGAGGAUUAGGGUUCGAUUCCGGAGAGGGAGCCUGAGAAACGGCUACCACAUCUAAGGAAGGCAGCAGGCGCGUAAAUUACCCAAUCCUGACUCAGGGAGGUAGUGACAAGAAAUAGCGGACAGAGACCAUUGGUUUCUGGAUUGCAAUGAGCCGAAUUUACACCCCUUAGCGAAUGUCGAUUGGAGGGCAAGUCUGGUGCCAGCAGCCGCGGUAAUCCCAGCUCCAAUAGCGUAUAUUAMAGUUGUUGCAGUUAAAAAGCUCGUAGUUGGAUUUCUGAUAAAGUGUCAAUGUCAGCUUUGUGCUUGUGCAGCGACGCUUUAUCAUCCUUCUGUUAACAUUAUUCGGCAUUCAUUUGCUGGUAAUGGGCUCAGAUAUUUUACCUUGAGAAAAUUAGAGUGUUUCAGGCAGGCUAAGC
rnacentral:rRNA from 1 species